CCUCCUGCCGCUGCUGUGAAAUACCAGCUGGGUCAGUAGCCACCCCAGCUUGUUUCCCAGUUCAGGCUCUGCGCUACUGUCUGCCCUCACUUCACAUCCCUUCUGCCCUUCUGCUGCUUCUGAGAGUGUGAGAGCUUCAGCAGUUACAAGGUGAUGUUCCUGGAGCUGGCUGAGUGCAGGAGAGGAACCCUGGACAGGUAUACUCAGAGCAGCAAUGGAAGCAAUGGCUCUGAGAGUGGUUGGCCCUCUGCCAUCAUGCUUGCAGUGGCAGCAAACACUGAGUUAAAAGGUGCUUCAAUUCUAACUGCAUUUUCACUUUUUUUUUGCCUUUGGAAGAGAAGACAAAACCUGAUAAGCUGUGCUGUUGGGUUCAUAUUUGAUGCCUCCUUUCUCAUUGCCAAGGGGAACUGUUGUAAGAAGCCUGAGCAAAAGAUUUUCCCUCCACACUGUCAUUUAAAAUAACAAGCAAAAAGUUCACGUUGUAGACGCUGCUUCUGUCCUUUAGAUGAAUGCCUGACACUUGUCAAACUGGUGUGGAGUUCGAGGAUGGCCAGCAAUGAGCAUUACAGAGGCUGCUUCCUCCGGACCUCCACCUUGGCAAACUGGGUGCAGGCCUACUGAGAUUUUACCACAGGCUUUCAUUUUGUUCUCAAAGGGCAUUUUUAUUAGCUUCCUGCUAGAAGUAUGGAGCCGAUUGGAGAAACAUUUUUAGGUCUAAUCCUAAUUGACUGUAAGAAAUUAAAGAACAAAAAAGAAAAGGUGGCUUUUGAAAACCAGCCUGGCUUGCACUGCUAACUAGCUCAUGUAGUGAGUGAUUAAAAAAUGCCAGCCAAAAACAGAAAAAGAAAAAACCCUAAAAACCCGAAACCAGAAGAAAAAAGAAAGGUAACAGCAGCAGGAGAGUAUGUUGGAGAUUCCGUGAGCUCCGUUCCCAGCCGCCUGUCGUGAGUAUGAGAAGGCUCAGGUAGCUCUCAGGAAUGAAACCCUGCAGGUCUGUGGCGAUGACAUACCCCUCUGCUACGGACCAGAGGAUGAUUCCGACACAGCUCAUUACAUUUCUAUUUCUGACUAAGCCCAUUGUUGGAUUUAAUGAAUAAGUGAUGUUUUGAACUGAUAAACACCCUGCAGCAAAUUUCCCAUUUUAUGUUGUGAUGAACAAGCCAAUAGAUUUCAGGAAACCCGUAAAGGGCCUUUAACAUAUGAUUUCAGACUUAAUUCAAAGUAGGAGGUGCUUCUCAGAGCUAUCUUGAAAGUUUCUCUCACCUCCACCCCCAAAAUGGGAUAAGAUUUCCACAGACUAAGCAGUGUUAUCUGUAAAACAAGGCAGCAACUGCUACCAACACUAUUGGUAGUUCAUUAUCACAGGGAAAUAUCUUGUAUUGUGAAAUGUAAAAAUGUCUAUUAACUAUUUCAUUGUAAUCCUUUUAGAUACAAAAUAUUCCCUUUGCUUAUCCCACAGUGUGCACCUUCCUCCUCCUUCUCCCUGUAUACUGAAGACUUACCUGUCCCACACCCACUUGCUUAUGUUUCCAGGCUUGAUCCUCACACCUUUGAUCAUGCAAUUAUGGCUUCCCCAUGGGAAACCAUUCACUAUACCAAAAUCAGCAAAUGUGAGACCAGCAUGAAACAAAAGAAGUUAAAUAUCAGAAUAGAUCUUUCUGGGGACUGCCACAAAAGUGGUGUGAUUAAUUUUUGCAUUAAAUUUAUUAAAAGUUUGCCAUGAAAAGAUAAACAAAGCUGCCACAAAACUUCUGUUAUAGGAUGGUGAUGUCAAAGGCUGUCGUCACUUCGUUGCAGAGUAUGAUUCACCUUGCAGUAGAAUAGACAACAACAUGGUAGAAUUAGAAAAACCCAGGACUGAAAACACUAGUUCAUACUCACAAAUGUGGGUUUUUUUCCCAAAAGCUUGACAGUUGGUGCUCUUUUCUAUGCUUCAGAGACAAAGAAAAAUGAAGUCGUAACAGCCUUCAGAUAGACUUUUAUGAGUCUAAAGACAAAAAGUAAUGUCUGGCACAGAUUAUUUAACUGGACUAAGGGGGAAAUUAAUUCCCUCUGAGGAAGGAAAUUUGAUUUACCAUUUCCUUAAGGCUGAUGGUAGGAGUGGGAGCAUGAGAGCCUGCUCUGGUACGUGAUGAGGUUUUGCCACUCUCGCAUCUUGGCAGGGCAGACUGACCGUCAUGGAUAGUGUUUUUCCUGCCUGUCAGGAAAAACAGAAGGAAACUGACUUUAUCCCACAAAGGACUUCUCUGAGAUUUCAGUCAUGGCUGGGUGUCCCUCAGUCCCUCUUUUGUGAAAUCUUUUUUCCCAAGACAAAAGCCCUGGAAAAGGAGCAGAAACCAACAAUAAUUCGGGCAAAAAUGCAAGUGCUGCUGGUAGGUUGCAGGGAGGCUCUAAAGGGCAGGGAGCCUUUCCCUAUUCCCAAGGACACAUGUCCAUGAUGGAGAAAGUCCCCAGAGGUUUCAUUGUUCUUCUUUCUGCAUAUCAUGUGCCCACUUCCCUGUACCUAUGGUCUUCCCACAGGCACCCUCCCUACCCUGACCUCUAACUCCAAGGGUACUUAUGGGGGUGCCUUAAUGCCUCUGUGCAACACCUCAGAUUGGACACUGAUGGGAAAAGCUAUAUAAAACAAGGAACUGAAUACUUCCAAGGAUAGUGACGUCUGCGUGUGAUUACUUGUUUGGCUGCACUGGCUGAAGCUGUACUGCUAACUCAGCAGACUGUAAGUAGACAGUAUUGUCUUUUCGGCGCAUUCUGGCUGCAAUUCAGGAUGUUAAUAAUAAUCUGGAGAGCUAUGGAAGGCUUGGAUCCUAUCUAUCAGGAAUCGUGUCUCUCUCCACAUACAGUUACAGGAGGCAAGACUGGGGAGAUGAUCUUGCUGACAGUUCCCUAAUUUAGCAAUGAGUGGCAGCAUUCGCGGUGGAGACCUGUACCAAAUCCAUUAUUUAUUAAGCUAUUACUUAGGAUCCAGAACGGGUGUAUUUAUUUGUAAGAAAGUCUGUGGACAUCUUGAUUGCUGUUCUAACAUAUGUUUAUGCAUCAGAGUCAAUGCUAGGGGGAUGCUUUGGUUUUAAAUUAGGAACAAAAUAUCCCCUAAAAGCUAAAUAUUAUACUGUGUUGUUCUAUUCUUUCCCCAACACUUACGCCAACACUGAGAGAACACUCCGGCCAAGCUGAUGGGCAGCCAAAUAUAAUUUAUGGCUUGUUUUAAACUGAUUUGUUGACUUCUUGAAAGGCCCUGUCAAAAAGAACAGUCCCCUGAGUCCUAACGAUGAUAACAGUUGUGUUGCGUCAGCGCUGAAAAACUCUUGGAUAACAGUGAACCUAUCCUGAGAAAUCUUUUUAAAGUGCCUGAACACUGGAUUUUCUGAAAAGAAAUAGAACUAAAGCUACUGUUUGGUAGUACACCUUGGUUUUCUUCAUUCUUUGUUAAUUACCACUGAUUGGUACACUCUCUUGGUAGCAUGAAAAUAGUUUCCCAUAUUCCAGUUCAUUAAAAAUAAAGAUGCGUGUUGUUUAAA